UUCAGCUUGCUGUACAGACUGCUGCCAUGCCGGCUGGCUAGGUCACUCUAGUCCCAGAGCAGAGGACAGACGCUGUGUGACUUUGGCUUUUUCUGAUUUUUUCAAGAGAUAAAGGGGCGUGCGUGUGCCAGACAGCUGUUUUCACUGUAACAAAUACUUGAGGUAGUGAACUUAUAAAGAGACAAGGUCUAUUUGGCUCAUAAUUUGAGUGCUGCACUAUAUAACUGGUUGGUCUUUUUGCUUUUGUACUUGUGGUAAAAUGGCACACUAUGGUGGGAGUGAAUGGCAGAGCAGAGUAUUUACAUUGUGGCCUGACAGUGAAAUAAAGAGGAAGGGGCCCAAGUCCCACUGUUUCUGUUAAGGACAGGAGCCUUGUGACUCCCCUUUAGUCCCAUGUCUUAAAGGCCUCAGAAUCCCCAGGAGUUCUAGACUACAUACAAAGCUUCCAAUACAAGUGCCCUUAGGAUAACUUGCAGAGCUGCAUGAUUGUUUUGUCCCUGGUCCCAAAGACAUUCAUGUACAUGUGUACAUCUGAAUGUGAAAUGCAUUCAGUAUUUUGGGGAAGUUCCCAGCAAGGCAGUCAGUUUUGAAAAAAAAUUAUUUUUAUUUUUAACUGUGUAUCUGUGUUGCGCCCGCAUGAGGUUAUGUGCGUGCACACGAUUACAGGUGUCUGCAGCGGAGGUCAGUGGCAUUGGAUGCCCUGGGACCUGGUGUUGGAAACCAUUGUCAGCCUCCCAACAUGGGCACUGGAAACCAGAUUUGGAUCUUUGAGUCUUCUGGAAGAGCUGUACUGGAUCUUAACUUCUGAGCCUUCAGUCCCCAGGGGACGAUUUACAUUGGUUCUUUUGUGAAGGACUAGAAUAUGAUUGAAUCAGGAAGUAAAAUUGCUUCCUGGUAGGAGGGUACAGUUUUGGAAUUCUGCCUGUGGUCAAAGAGAAUGUUGAGAUCUUUUUAUAGCCACAUGUAAAGAUGAUGUAAAUUAAGUUUUAGUUUAAAGGUAGAGUAAAGUAAGCUUUGAAAAUUUA